GCACCUGUCAUCGGGUAAUAUUCUUGUGAUUAGUUUUGGCUGUGCUGAUGAAACGAUGUUAAAAGAAUGUCAGAACAACCUGUCCUGGGACUCCUACAGGCAGUUUCAAGCUAAGGAAGUCUACAUGAAUGAGCUUGAAGAGGUGGAACUUGUCCUGUGGAGAGAUAUCCCAUAGAUUUAGAUGCCACUGAAUUCCAUUGCAGCUCAUGGGUCAGCCUUCAUUCAGACAGCAAGAGAAGCAAGCUGGAAUUCAUUGCCCAGCAAACAGUGAUGAUUUCUGCUCUCGGUUGAAAAAGUCUCUUUUUGCUGUGGAGGUCCCCAGGUGUUAUUGCCAGAAAAGCGAGUCCCCAGAGCUCAGAUUUCCCCUCCUCUACCUCAGGGGGUCACUUCACCUUUCUGCAGCUCAGCUCUCCAGGCUGUGGGAGAGGUUCCAGCUCCACAGGGACAGUGGGGACUGGCUGAUAUGGAAAUGUGCUGAGCCUGGAAACACAUGGUUAUUAUUCACUAAUAAAAGGGAAUUAAAAUCUCCCUGGUGAUAAAAGUUGUAGAAUGCAGUUAUAUUAUUAUGAGCAAGUAAG
rnacentral:lncRNA from 1 species